rnacentral:lncRNA from 1 species
UUUUUUUCAUGUACAGAGAAAUAAGGCUAGGACCGAAGGAAAGAAAAUCCAGGCUUCGGGAUCAGUAAAGCAAGUUUAGAAAUUUUGCUCUAAGAAUUCAGUUUAUGUUUAUGGAUUGUAGUCAUUAUGAAUUUUAAGACUUGGAUUAUUUUAUCUUUGGAUUUAGAUGCUGUGAACUAGUUUUGGUUUAAUUAAAUAUUUAAAUUGAACUUUAUUAUUAUAUUUAUUUGUGAUACACCUGUUAUUAUAUUUAAGAAGAUGAAUUUUGGCUUCAUGUUAUCGUGGGUCCAUCCCUCGGUAGCAUGGCCAUGUUAUGUCCCGGGUUUGGGGUGUGACAAGAAUUUCAAAAAAUCAUCCGAGCCACAGGAUGAUUUAUGGAUCGAACCCUAGGUGCAUUCUAGAUGAGCCAUCUCAUGGUCAAUCUUAAUGCGCCUUUGCUCUCCAAAUGCCUGGUAGUCUAGUCUUCAUCUUUAUGAAGACUUCCAUGAAUGCUUGAUCUUUAUUUGAAAAUAGAAAGAAAUAAUUUCUAUCUAUUCUCAAAUAAUUUUUUUCUAUAAUUUUAUAUCAAUAUGUAAAAAUCUCAAUCAAUAGUUGAGAACAUAUAAAAGAAAGAUAUGACUGAUAAUACAAUACAUCAGGGGCACCCAACCCCUAUUGUAAUUCUUGCAGAUGUAUUUAUAUAAUCAGCCAACAUAAAAGCAUUUAUGCAUACAUCCAUCUCAUGGAUAUACCAUAGUCCAUAACCACACAACAUGUAUUUUAUAAUAAUUAUAAAACAUGACAAUUAACUUCUUAUGUUAUCUUAAUUG